rnacentral:rRNA from 1 species
GGUUAAGCGACUAAGCGUACACGGUGGAUGCCCUGGCAGUCAGAGGCGAUGAAGGACGUGCUAAUCUGCGAUAAGCGCCGGUAAGGUGAUAUGAACCGUUAUAACCGGCGAUUUCCGAAUGGGGAAACCCAGUGUGACUCGUCACACUAUCAUUAACUGAAUCCAUAGGUUAAUGAGGCGAACCGGGGGAACUGAAACAUCUAAGUACCCCGAGGAAAAGAAAUCAACCGAGAUUCCCCCAGUAGCGGCGAGCGAACGGGGAGGAGCCCAGAGCCUGAAUCAGCAUGUGUGUUAGUGGAAGCGUCUGGAAAGGCGCGCGAUACAGGGUGACAGCCCCGUACACAAAAGCGCAUGUGCUGUGAGCUCGAUGAGUAGGGCGGGACACGUGGUAUCCUGUCUGAAUAUGGGGGGACCAUCCUCCAAGGCUAAAUACUCCUGACUGACCGAUAGUGAACCAGUACCGUGAGGGAAAGGCGAAAAGAACCCCGGCGAGGGGAGUGAAAAAGAACCUGAAACCGUGUACGUACAAGCAGUGGGAGCACAGGUUUACCUGUGUGACUGCGUACCUUUUGUAUAAUGGGUCAGCGACUUAUAUUCUGUAGCAAGGUUAACCGUAUAGGGGAGCCGGAGGGAAACCGAGUCUUAAUUGGGCGUUAAGUUGCAGGGUAUAGACCCGAAACCCGGUGAUCUAGCCAUGGGCAGGUUGAAGGUUGGGUAACACUAACUGGAGGACCGAACCGACUAAUGUUGAAAAAUUAGCGGAUGACCUGUGGCUGGGGGUGAAAGGCCAAUCAAACCGGGAGAUAGCUGGUUCUCCCCGAAAGCUAUUUAGGUAGCGCCUCGUGAAUUCAUCUCCGGGGGUAGAGCACUGUUUCGGCUAGGGGGCCAUCCCGGCUUACCAACCCGAUGCAAACUGCGAAUACCGGAGAAUGUUAUCACGGGAGACACACGGCGGGUGCUAACGUCCGUCGUGAAGAGGGAAACAACCCAGACCGCCAGCUAAGGUCCCAAAGUCAUGGUUAAGUGGGAAACGAUGUGGGAAGGCCCAGACAGCCAGGAUGUUGGCUUAGAAGCAGCCAUCAUUUAAAGAAAGCGUAAUAGCUCACUGGUCGAGUCGGCCUGCGCGGAAGAUGUAACGGGGCUAAACCAUGCACCGAAGCUGCGGCAGCGACGCUGAUGCGUUGUUGGGUAGGGGAGCGUUCUGUAAGCCUGCGAAGGUGGCCUGUGAGGGUUGCUGGAGGUAUCAGAAGUGCGAAUGCUGACAUAAGUAACGAUAAAGCGGGUGAAAAGCCCGCUCGCCGGAAGACCAAGGGUUCCUGUCCAACGUUAAUCGGGGCAGGGUGAGUCGACCCCUAAGGCGAGGCCGAAAGGCGUAGUCGAUGGGAAACGGGUUAAUAUUCCCGUACUUGGUGUUACUGCGAAGGGGGGACGGAGAAGGCUAUGUUGGCCGGGCGACGGUUGUCCCGGUUUAAGCGUGUAGGUGUGUGUUCCAGGUAAAUCCGGUUCACUUUAACACUGAGGCGUGACGACGAGGCACUACGGUGCUGAAGCAACAAAUGCCCUGCUUCCAGGAAAAGCCUCUAAGCAUCAGGUAACAUCAAAUCGUACCCCAAACCGACACAGGUGGUCAGGUAGAGAAUACCAAGGCGCUUGAGAGAACUCGGGUGAAGGAACUAGGCAAAAUGGUGCCGUAACUUCGGGAGAAGGCACGCUGACAUGUAGGUGAAGUGAUUUACUCAUGGAGCUGAAGUCAGUCGAAGAUACCAGCUGGCUGCAACUGUUUAUUAAAAACACAGCACUGUGCAAACACGAAAGUGGACGUAUACGGUGUGACGCCUGCCCGGUGCCGGAAGGUUAAUUGAUGGGGUCAGCGCAAGCGAAGCUCCUGAUCGAAGCCCCGGUAAACGGCGGCCGUAACUAUAACGGUCCUAAGGUAGCGAAAUUCCUUGUCGGGUAAGUUCCGACCUGCACGAAUGGCGUAAUGAUGGCCAGGCUGUCUCCACCCGAGACUCAGUGAAAUUGAACUCGCUGUGAAGAUGCAGUGUACCCGCGGCAAGACGGAAAGACCCCGUGAACCUUUACUAUAGCUUGACACUGAACAUUGAGCCUUGAUGUGUAGGAUAGGUGGGAGGCUUUGAAGCGUGGACGCCAGUCUGCGUGGAGCCGACCUUGAAAUACCACCCUUUAAUGUUUGAUGUUCUAACGUGGACCCGUUACCCGGGUUGCGGACAGUGUCUGGUGGGUAGUUUGACUGGGGCGGUCUCCUCCUAAAGAGUAACGGAGGAGCACGAAGGUUGGCUAAUCCUGGUCGGACAUCAGGAGGUUAGUGCAAUGGCAUAAGCCAGCUUGACUGCGAGCGUGACGGCGCGAGCAGGUGCGAAAGCAGGUCAUAGUGAUCCGGUGGUUCUGAAUGGAAGGGCCAUCGCUCAACGGAUAAAAGGUACUCCGGGGAUAACAGGCUGAUACCGCCCAAGAGUUCAUAUCGACGGCGGUGUUUGGCACCUCGAUGUCGGCUCAUCACAUCCUGGGGCUGAAGUAGGUCCCAAGGGUAUGGCUGUUCGCCAUUUAAAGUGGUACGCGAGCUGGGUUUAGAACGUCGUGAGACAGUUCGGUCCCUAUCUGCCGUGGGCGCUGGAGAACUGAGGGGGGCUGCUCCUAGUACGAGAGGACCGGAGUGGACGCAUCACUGGUGUUCGGGUUGUCAUGCCAAUGGCACUGCCCGGUAGCUAAAUGCGGAAGAGAUAAGUGCUGAAAGCAUCUAAGCACGAAACUUGCCCCGAGAUGAGUUCUCCCUGAGACUUAGAGUCUCCUGAAGGAACGUUGAAGACGACGACGUUGAUAGGCCGGGUGUGUAAGCGCAGCGAUGCGUUGAGCUAACCGGUACUAAUGAACCGUGAGGCUUAACCUU